CCUACGGGAGGCAGCAGUGGGGAAUAUUGGACAAUGGGCGAAAGCCUGAUCCAGCAAUGCCGCGUGAGUGAUGAAGGCCUUCGGGUCGUAAAGCUCUUUUACCAGGGAUGAUAAUGACAGUACCUGGAGAAUAAGCUCCGGCUAACUCCGUGCCAGCAGCCGCGGUAAUACGGAGGGAGCUAGCGUUGUUCGGAAUUACUGGGCGUAAAGAGUACGUAGGCGGUUAUUCAAGUCAGAGGUGAAAGCCCGGGGCUCAACCCCGGAACUGCCUUUGAAACUAGAUAGCUAGAGUCUUGGAGAGGUUAGUGGAAUUCCGAGUGUAGAGGUGAAAUUCGUAGAUAUUCGGAAGAACACCAGUGGCGAAGGCGACUAACUGGACAAGUACUGACGCUGAGGUACGAAAGCGUGGGGAGCAAACAGGAUUAGAUACCCUGGUAGUCCACGCCGUAAACGAUGAUAACUAGUUGUUCGGUCACUUGGUGACUGAGUGACGCAGCUACGCAUUAAGUUAUCCGUCCGUCGGGUAGGUACGGUCGCGAGAGUAAACGUAACGAAAGAAGUAGACGGCGUGUAGACGUUGCGACGGACGACGACGAGGGAGGAGG
rnacentral:rRNA from 1 species